UUGAGAGGAAUUAAAGUGCUUUGGUCAUUGGACAAAUAUGGAUACGGGAAACAUUGUAUGACUGACUGAAAAAAUCAGACACAUCUCCUGGCCUAGGAAUAAAAGAAGACAGUGCAGAAUCAGUUCAGUAGAAGGUCAGUCUAAUGGUGAAGGAGCUCUUGUCAAGCUCCGAAAAAGGAAUCUCUUGGGGCUCAUGAGAGACUCUCUGUCUCUCUCUGUCUCUGUCUCUGUCUCUCUCUCUUGUUCUCUCUCAUCUUCUCCCCUGCCCUGCCCUGUCUUACCUCCCCUCCCUUCAUCCCAGAUGACCACACGCUUCUUGGAAGAUUCAGAGGUCUCAUCAAAGUCUCUGUGGCUGUGACAGAUUUUGCUUUUUCUUCUACUCAAGACCAUUCCAUGGUUUGGAUUCCUUGGAGAAGGGAAUUAACUGAAUAUUUGGGCAACAUCCUGACAUUCUGUGACACACUGCACAGAAAAUUCCCCUUCUCACAAUAGAAAGCCAGAUUCCAGAACUCUCAAAUUUGGCAUUACCAACCUCAAGACUAAC
rnacentral:lncRNA from 1 species